AUUGAACGCUGGCGGCAGGCCUAACACAUGCAAGUCGAGCGAGCGGCGGACGGGUGAGUAAUGUCUGGGAAACCGCCUGAUGGAGGGGGAUAACUACUGGAAACGGUAGCUAAUACCGCAUACCAUCAGAUGUGCCCAGAUGGGAUUAGCUAGUAGGUGGGGUACCGGUUAACCUAGGCGACGAGCCCUAGCUGGUCUGAGAGGAUGACCAGCCACACUGGAACUGGUACACGGUCCAGACUCCUACGGGAGGCAGCAGUGGGGAAUAUUGCACAAUGGGCGCAAGCCUGAUGCAGCCAUGCCGCGUGUGUGAAGAAGGCCGUCGGGUUGUAAAGCACUUUCAGCGGGGAGGCGUUACCCGCAGAAGAAGCACCGGCUAACUCCGUGCCAGCAGCCGCGGUAAUUC
rnacentral:rRNA from 1 species